rnacentral:rRNA from 1 species
GAGUGAACGCUGGCGGUAGGCCUAACACAUGCAAGUCGAACGGCAGCACAGUAAGAGCUUGCUCUUACGGGUGGCGAGUGGCGGACGGGUGAGGAAUACAUCGGAAUCUACUUUUUCGUGGGGGAUAACGUAGGGAAACUUACGCUAAUACCGCAUAUGACCUACGGGUGAAAGCAGGGGAUCUUCGGACCUUGCGCGAUUGAAUGAGCCGAUGUCGGAUUAGCUAGUUGGCGGGGUAAAGGCCCACCAAGGCGACGAUCCGUAGCUGGUCUGAGAGGAUGAUCAGCCACACUGGAACUGAGACACGGUCCAGACUCCUACGGGAGGCAGCAGUGGGGAAUAUUGGACAAUGGGCGCAAGCCUGAUCCAGCCAUACCGCGUGGGUGAAGAAGGCCUUCGGGUUGUAAAGCCCUUUUGUUGGGAAAGAAAAGCAGCAGGUUAAUACCCCGCUGUUCUGACGGUACCCAAAGAAUAAGCACCGGCUAACUUCGUG